AGAGUUUGAUCAUGGCUCAGAUUGAACGCUGGCGGCAUGCCUUACACAUGCAAGUCGAACGGCAGCACGGGUGCUUGCACCUGGUGGCGAGUGGCGAACGGGUGAGUAAUACAUCGGAACGUGUCCUGUAGUGGGGGAUAGCCCGGCGAAAGCCGGAUUAAUACCGCAUACGAUCUAGGGGAUGAAAAGCGGGGGGAUCU
rnacentral:rRNA from 1 species